rnacentral:rRNA from 1 species
GACGAACGCUGGCGGCGUGCCUAAUACAUGCAAGUAGAACGCUGAAGAGAGGAGCUUGCUCUUCUUGGAUGAGUUGCGAACGGGUGAGUAACGCGUAGGUAACCUGCCUUGUAGCGGGGGAUAACUAUUGGAAACGAUAGCUAAUACCGCAUAACAAUGGAUGACACAUGUCAUUUAUUUGAAAGGGGCAAUUGCUCCACUACAAGAUGGACCUGCGUUGUAUUAGCUAGUAGGUGAGGUAACGGCUCACCUAGGCGACGAUACAUAGCCGACCUGAGAGGGUGAUCGGCCACACUGGGACUGAGACACGGCCCAGACUCCUACGGGAGGCAGCAGUAGGGAAUCUUCGGCAAUGGGGGCAACCCUGACCGAGCAACGCCGCGUGAGUGAAGAAGGUUUUCGGAUCGUAAAGCUCUGUUGUAAGUCAAGAACGAGUGUGAGAGUGGAAAGUUCACACUGUGACGGUAGCUUACCAGAAAGGGACGGCUAACUACGUGCCAGCAGCCGCGGUAAUACGUAGGUCCCGAGCGUUGUCCGGAUUUAUUGGGCGUAAAGCGAGCGCAGGCGGUUUGAUAAGUCUGAAGUUAAAGGCUGUGGCUCAACCAUAGUUCGCUUUGGAAACUGUCAAACUUGAGUGCAGAAGGGGAGAGUGGAAUUCCAUGUGUAGCGGUGAAAUGCGUAGAUAUAUGGAGGAACACCGGUGGCGAAAGCGGCUCUCUGGUCUGUAACUGACGCUGAGGCUCGAAAGCGUGAGGAGCGAACAGGAUUAGAUACCCUGGUAGUCCACGCCGUAAACGAUGAGUGCUAGGUGUUGGAUCCUUUCCGGGAUUCAGUGCCGCAGCUAACGCAUUAAGCACUCCGCCUGGGGAGUACGACCGCAAGGUUGAAACUCAAAGGAAUUGACGGGGGCCCGCACAAGCGGUGGAGCAUGUGGUUUAAUUCGAAGCAACGCGAAGAACCUUACCAGGUCUUGACAUCCCGAUGCUAUUUCUAGAGAUAGAAAGUUACUUCGGUACAUCGGUGACAGGUGGUGCAUGGUUGUCGUCAGCUCGUGUCGUGAGAUGUUGGGUUAAGUCCCGCAACGAGCGCAACCCCUAUUGUUAGUUGCCAUCAUUCAGUUGGGCACUCUAGCGAGACUGCCGGUAAUAAACCGGAGGAAGGUGGGGAUGACGUCAAAUCAUCAUGCCCCUUAUGACCUGGGCUACACACGUGCUACAAUGGUUGGUACAACGAGUUGCGAGUCGGUGACGGCAAGCUAAUCUCUUAAAGCCAAUCUCAGUUCGGAUUGUAGGCUGCAACUCGCCUACAUGAAGUCGGAAUCGCUAGUAAUCGCGGAUCAGCACGCCGCGGUGAAUACGUUCCCGGGCCU